rnacentral:lncRNA from 1 species
UUGACUUGAGGUCGUCAUGGUACCUUAUAUGAGGACAGUCAUACUUUGGCGGUGUUGGAUGUUGCUCUGAAAAGGGCCGCUAAUACGACAUCGUUCGGGUACGUCAAGAAUCGUAUGAAGGUUGUGAUUGAUCAAUAAAGGAUUCGUCACUCUUAGAUUGUAGGAGAUUAUGAUCUGCGUUUUGUCCAAUUAAGUCAAUGAUCAAA